CCCCGGGCCCCGCUCGCGCGCGAGGGGAGCCUCACAGGAGCCAGAGCCCGACCGCCGCGACGCCAGGCGCCGGCCCCGGCAGGAGGUCUGCUGGGAAUCAGCCCAGGUGGGGGCGGCAGACCUACUUCUCCCUGUAGUUGGUGAGUGGCAGGAGCAGCAGGAGCUAGGACCAAGGACAAGUGGGAGCUGGGAGCCCCAGGCACAAGCACACCAGCUCCUCUGCUCACUGCGUGUGGGCGGAUGGCGCACUUUGUGGAAUGGUCCUGCCUCUGUCUGCUCUCUCAAGAUCCCUGAAGUGGGAAGGUACCCUCUGGGCCUUGCCUACCUCAGAGGAAUGGACAGAUAAUAAAAGGCCUAUGGGGCAACCUUGCCUUCUCCCAAAUGCAAGCAGUUGUUUCUUAUUGUAGACAAUCAGGAGAAUUCUGGGGAUGCUCUGUGGGAGAGGAAGGGGCCAAGGAGUGAACUUGGGACUACUUUUUGUGGGCUGGUAGGAGGGCUGUUCCCACUAGCAAACAGCCCCUAGCCCCACUGCAGCCCAAUGGGCAGUUCCAGGACUGGAACUAGAGGCUUUCCAC
rnacentral:lncRNA from 1 species